rnacentral:lncRNA from 1 species
UGUAAAUAAAGCAACUGAUAGCCAUAUGUUCUUACUGCAACUAAGUUUUAAAACAGAAAAAAAAAUCCAAAUAAUAUUUGCAUGCACACACCAUUGACAUGGAAUAUUUUUCUUUGGAGAUGUGCAAGUAGCAAAAGUAUUCCUCUCCGCUAAGCGCCUCGGCCCCUUGGAUAAAUUCUGAUUUCAUGAGAACUGGGAGGUGGUGUGGUGGGAGGAGGAAGCACAA